rnacentral:rRNA from 1 species
CAGAGGGUGCGAGCGUUAAUCGGAAUUACUGAGCGUAAAGCGCGCGUAGAUGGUUAUGUAAGUCGGAUGUGAAAGCCCAGGGCUCAACCUUGGAAUUGCAUUCGAGACUGCAUAGCUAGGAUGCGGAAGAGGGAAGCGGAAUUUCCGGUGUAGCGGUGAAAUGCGUAGAUAUCGGAAGGAACACCAGUGGCGAAAGCGGCUUCCUGGUCCAGCAUCGACGUUCAGGCACGAAAGCGUGGGGAGCAAACAGGAUUAGAUACCCUGGUAGUCCACGCCAUAAACGAUGACAACUAGACGUUGAGAGGGUAAGCCUCCCAGUGUCGCAGCUAACGCGUUAAGUUGUCCGCCUGGGGAGUACGGCCGCAAGGUUG